rnacentral:lncRNA from 1 species
AUGAUUUCAGUCUUGGCUUACUACUCAAUCAAAUGGUGGGGUGGGUGUGGAGAUCUAAGAAAAGUGUUAAGAACUGGAAGAGGCCGAGGCGGAUGGAUCACGAGGUCAACAGAUCGAGACCAUCCUGGUCAACAUGGUGAAACCCCAUCUCUACUAAAAAUACAAAAAAUUAGCUGGGCAUGGUGGCGCGUGCCUGUAAUCCGAGCUACUCAGGAGGCUGAGGCAGGAGAAUUGCCUGAACCCAGGGGGCGGAGGUUGUGGUGAGCCGAGAUCAUGCCAUUGCACUCCAGCCUGGGUAACAAGAGCAAAACUCCGUCUCAAAAAAAAAAAAAAAAAAAAAAAAAAAAAAGAUGCUUAUAUUGGGCCCGGCACAUAGCACUUGCACAUAUAUUGGCAAUUAAAACUACAGCUAGAUUGAAGGAAUAAGUUCUGAUUUCUCUAGCACAUAAAGUAACUAUAGUUAACAGUAAUUACUGUAUAUUUGCAAAUAGCUAUAAGAAUUUUGAAUGUUUCCAACACAAAAAAUUUUAAAUAUUUGAGGUGGUAGAUAUGCCAAUCACACUGAUUUUAUCGUUACACAUUGUAUACAUGCAUAGAAAUCUCUCUCUGUACCACAUAAAUAUGUACAACUAUGUCAAUUCAAAAUUUUAAAAAUUAUUACUUAACUUGAACGCCUUUAAAAGAAAGUAUAGUCUCAUUUCUAUUUCUUUUCUGUUUAAGUAUGUGUGACUCUGCUUUAGAAUUCUGCAGACUUCUCUAAAAGAUAGUGCAGACAAAUUUGUUAUAGUAAAUACUUUUGUAAGGUCAUAUAUUGAAAUAUAAUAAUUCUAAGUCACUGCCCUAAAUGUGAAAUUCUAAUUACACAAUUUAGCAUAAGAUCCUAGCAGCCAGGGAGCCUGAGUUAAGUAUUAACAAGGCUAAGUAUUUUCAUGUAGCACGUAAUGCAGAAUAAAGUAGUGAAAAGCAAGUGGAGUAUGAAUCUUGGCAUCUUCAGUUAUUAACCUCUUUGAGCCCUGAGAUUCUUAUUUAUCUCUUAAUGGGGUAAUAAUACCUAUGCACAAAAUUGAUGAGAAGAUUAAAUAAUAUACAUAAAAGACUUAGUAAAGUGCUUGGCCUGUAUAGAAGGAACCCAAUAAUUGGUAAGCAUUAUUUUAUUAUUAUUAUUUUUAUUAUUGCUAUGAUCAUCAUCUUAGGUCCCAGAAAUUAGAGGAUGGACCUUUUCUUACUUCUUGUGAGGAAAUAACAUCCUCAGGGGAAGUUCACGGGGAACACUUUGGAAUCUUAGAGGGUAUGCUUUGGUCUAUUGCAAAGA